UGCUGGAGGGCACAGGCAGCAUCUGCAUCGACACAGACUUAGUGUCUUCCCAAGAGUUUUCCUGUGUGCUGGACAUGGUGUACACCGGAAAAAUGUCCCCAGGGAAACACAACUUCACCCGCAUCAUCGCCGCCGCAGACAGCCUGCAGAUGUUCGACGUGGGCAACAGAACAUCGACACCAAACUGAUGAGGCAGUCGACUACACAACCAGUCUCACCUCCACCCACCGCCACCCAAUCACAGCUCAAACAGUUUCAGAGCCAGGGGGCCAAGCACACAGCUUCCCCAGAGACAGCUGCCCCUAGCAUUGGAGAGUGUGGUGUGAAGAUUCCCUUCACCUGGACUCCAGAGGAGACAAAGGUGGGUGAGGGAGGUUUGGAAGGUGGAGUGACCACAGAAGCCAGAGUGACCACAGCAGCCAAACAUAGCGAGUCAAUGAAUGUGAAUGACAGGAAAGAGAAGGCUGGCCCACCAUCUAAAAGAGCUCACCUACAACUUCCAGAGAGCACAACUGACAUGGACCCCCUGUCUCAGGGAGGUGCCAAUAUGGUUGGAGAUGGAGGAUGUGCAGCAGUGGCUGAGAGCACUGCAGACCUGGGAUGAUAUCUCCUCUGAGGAGAAACAGGUGAAACUUUGCAUGACUGGAAGACAGUGGUCUCUAAUCUUACAGAGCACACAAUUCAACACAACACUCCAGUCGUUAAAGUGUGUGUGUGUCGACCACUGUGUGUGUGAACCACUCUUCCUCCACAGCGUUUACAGCAUUAUUAUCUCAGGGGAUACUGUCGUGCUGUGAGGGAGAUCCCAGGGGUCCUGCUGUGUUCCAUAGGCUCCAGAACAGGCUCUGAGGCUGAAGAACCAGGGGAGCAGCCCUAUACACCCACUACUGUAGACGCAGACAUAGCCGAGGAGGAGAAGAGGAGGAAGAUAAGAAUGAAGGAGAAGAAAGGGAGAGGAAGACUAGAUCCAAGGCUAAGCAAUCCUUUAACAAUAAGUGUGGUAUGAUGGCCCACACCAAGCACUGUACCAUGUCCCAGGAGACCAUGCUGCAGUGCCCUGAGUGCCCAGAGGAGCUGCCCACAUUGCAACAACGGGUGGUUGUUGUCCUUGAUGAUCUUUUUGGCCUUCCUGUGACAUCGGGUGGUGUAGGUGUC